rnacentral:rRNA from 1 species
UACGUAGGGUGCGAGCGUUAAUCGGAAUUACUGGGCGUAAAGCGUGCGCAGGCGGUGAGUUAAGUCUGCUGUGAAAGCCCCGGGCUCGACCUGGGAACUGCAGUGGAAACUGGCUCGCUGGAGUAUGGCAGAGGGGGGUGGAAUUCCGCGUGUAGCAGUGAAAUGCGUAGAGAUGCGGAGGAACACCGAUGGCGAAGGCAGCCCCCUGGGUCGAUACUGACGCUCAUGCACGAAAGCGUGGGGAGCAAACAGG